GCCCCUGUAGCUCAGUUGGUAGAGCGUCUCACUUGUAAUGAGAAUGUCGCGGGUUCGACUCCUGUCGGGGGCUCCA
rnacentral:tRNA from 1 species